rnacentral:rRNA from 1 species
GUGCCAGCCGCCGCGGUAAGACGGAGGGGGCUAGCGUUGUUCGGAAUUACUGGGCGUAAAGGGCGUGUAGGCGGUUUAGUAAGUUAGGAGUGAAAUCCCAGAGCUUAACUCUGGAACUGCUUCUAAAACUGCUAGGCUAGAGUGUGGUAGAGGAUGAUGGAAUUCCUAGUGUAGAGGUAAAAUUCUUAGAUAUUAGGAGGAACACCAGUGGCGAAGGCUGUCAUCUGGGCCAUUACUGACGCUGAGGCGCGAAAGCGUGGGGAGCAAACAGGAUUAGAUACCCUGGUAGUCCACGCUGUAAACGAUGAGUGCUAGAUGUUGGGAGAUUUUCUUUCAGUUUCGCAGCUAACGCGUUAAGCACUCCGCCUGGGGAGUACGGUCGCAAGAUUAAAACUCAAAGGAAUUGACGG